GGCUGAAACGAUUCCCAAAUGACGAACAGGGUUCUCGAAAAUAUGUAAACAAACCUUUUUUUGGUCAGUUUCUAUUUAUUUUUGCUACAAAGGAUUCCCCCGUCUGAACAUGCGAUGCGAGGGUUAAAAAAAAAGUGAUUUUUGACAAAUAAAUAACCAAAAACUGAUACUUACUGAACUAAAUUUUGUCAACAACUUCUUGAUGCUUGUCCGUUAAAAAAACACGAUGACGUCAUCGGAUUGACCACGAC
rnacentral:lncRNA from 1 species